CGCUGUAAAGCUAAUAAGCAUUAACCUUUUAAG
rnacentral:tRNA from 1 species